UACGAAGGGGGCUAGCGUUGCUCGGAAUCACUGGGCGUAAAGGGUGCGUAGGCGGGUCUUUAAGUCAGGGGUGAAAUCCUGGAGCUCAACUCCAGAACUGCCUUUGAUACUGAAGAUCUUGAGUUCCGGGAGAGGUGAGUGGAACUGCGAGUGUAGAGGUGAAAUUCGUAGAUAUUCGCAAGAACACCGGUGGCGAAGGCGGCUCACUGGCCCGGUACUGACGCUGAGGUGCGAAAGCGUGGGGAGCAAACAGG
rnacentral:rRNA from 1 species